CCUACGGGUGGCAGCAGUCGAGAAUCAUUCACAAUGGGGGAAACCCUGAUGGUGCGACGCCGCGUGGGGGAAUGAAGGUCUUCGGAUUGUAAACCCCCGUCAUGUGGGAGCAAAUUAAAAAGAUAGUACCACAAGAGGAAGAGACGGCUAACUCUGUGCCAGCAGCCGCGGUAAUACAGAGGUCUCAAGCGUUGUUCGGAAUCACUGGGCGGAAAGCGUGCGUAGGCUGUUUCGUAAGUCGUGUGUGAAAGGCGCGGGCUCAACCCGCGGACGGCACAUGAUACUGCGAGACUAGAGUAAUGGAGGGGGAACCGGAAUUCUCGGUGUAGCAGUGAAAUGCGUAGAUAUCGAGAGGAACACUCGUGGCGAAGGUGGGUUCCUGGACAUUAACUGACGCUGAGGCACGAAGGCCAGGGGAGCGAAAGGGAUUAGAUACCCUUGUAGUC
rnacentral:rRNA from 1 species